AUUGGAGGAGGAUGAAAGCCGUGCCCAGAGAUGGACUGGAGACUCCACCUCCCCUGCCAGCAUCCCUGGAGACGAGGUACCUGACGCACUUGGCUGUCUCCUGCUUGAAUCUCUGCAGCUUCUCUUUGGCACCUAGCUUGGUGGCUGCUCCGUGUCUACUUGAGCCUUCUGGUCCUGGGCCACCUGAGAAGCAAAUCCGAACCUGACAUCUGUUCUGCUGGCAGACACUUCCCGGGCAACGGGAGAUCCCAGCUAGAGUGAUCUGGUGGUUUCUUGGGAGUCCAGGG